rnacentral:pre_miRNA from 1 species
GUCGGGAAGAGGAAGAAAUGAGCAUAUAAGAUGAUUAGGCAUUGGAACAUGGAGGAGGGCAUAGACUAGUGUUUCCCUCUGCAACUAGGGUCCAAUAUUUGUUCCAAAAUUUUACCGAUGCCUCCCAUGCCUAUUGUUCUUAAGUGCACCUUCCUCUUCCUUUCAAUC